CGCGUAGGCGGCGGACCUUGUCGAGUGUGAAAGCCCCGGGCUCAACCUGGGAGGUGCGCCCGAGACGGGUUUGCUGGAGUUCGGGAGAGGAGAGUGGAAUUCCCAGUGUAGAGGUGAAAUUCGUAGAUAUUGGGAAGAACACCGGUGGCGAAGGCGGCUCUCUGGACCGAGACUGACGCUGAGGCGCGAAAGCGUGGGGAGCAAACAGGAUUAGAUACCCUGGUAGUCCACGCUGUAAACGAUGUGUGCUAGACGUUGGGGAGCGCAGCUCUUCGGUGUCGCCGCAAACGCUUUAAGCACACCGCCUGGGGAGUACGGCCGCAAGGUUAAA
rnacentral:rRNA from 1 species